CAUCUAAAAGAGCAAACAGAAAUGAGAGAUAAACCUGUGUUUGAUUCAAAGAAAUGGCGUCAGCCAUGCAACGCACAUUAAACAAAUUGCAUCCAAACUCCAC